AACGAACGCUGGCGGCAUGCCUAACACAUGCAAGUCGAACGAGACCUUCGGGUCUAGUGGCGAACGGGUACGUAACACGUGGGAACCUGCCCUUAGGUUCGGAAUACCUCAGAGAAAUUUGAGCUAAUACCGGUUGAUGUCUUCGGACCAAAGAUCUCUGGCCUUUAGAUGGGCCCGCGUUGGUUUAGCUAGUUGGUGGUGUAAAGGCCUACCAAGGCGACGAUCCAUAGCUGGUCUGAGAGGAUGAUCAGCCACACUGGCCCUGAGACACGGCCCAGACCGCUAGGGGAGAGAGCAGUGGGGAGUAUUGGACGAUGAGCGAAAGCGUGGUCCAGCCAUGCGGCGUGAGUGAUGAAGGCCUUAGGGUUGUAAAGCUCUUUUACCCGAGAUGUUAAUGACAGUAUCGGGAGAAUAAGCUCCGGCUAACUCCGUG
rnacentral:rRNA from 1 species